GGGGAAAAUUAAUAAUUUAAAUUUAAUAAAAAAAAUUUUAAUAUUAAAAAGAAAAAAUGGGGGUUUAAGUAUUUUUAAUAGAAAAAAUUAAUAUUUUUAUAGUUAAAUAUUACUGUAAAGGAAUUUAUAAAUAAAUGAAAUAAAAUUAGUUAAAAAGUAAAUUUUAAUUAUUGUAUCUUGUGUAUCAGAGUUUAUUAAAUAAUAAUAAUUUAUUUAAAUAAAUCUCGAAUUUAAAAGAGUUAAUUAAUUAAUAAAGUUAAUGUUGAAUAAUUAUUUUAAAUAAUUAAUUAGAAAUGAAAUGUUAAUCGUUUUUAAAUAUAUCUAGUUUUUUCAGAAAAAAAUUUAAUUUUAAAUUUAAAUAAUUUUAUAAUUAUUUAAUUAAUUAUGAAAAUUUAAAUUUUAAUAUUUUAGGGGAUAAGCUUUAAAUUAAAAAUUUAUAAUUAAUUAAUUUUGAAUUAAAAUUUUUAAAAUUUAUAUUGUUUAAAAAUUAUAAUUUAUUAUAAAAAAUUUUAUUUUUAAUAAAAUUUAAAAUAAAAAAAUUUAAAUUUUUAUGAAAAAAUAAUUUAUAAUUAAAUAAAAUUAGAAAUAAUGAUAAAAUUAGUAUAAUAUAAUAAAUUAAAUUAAAUUUAUAAUUAAGUAAAUUAAAGGAAUUCGGCAAAAUUUUAUAUUCACUUGUUUAUCAAAAACAUGUCUUUUUGAUAAUAAUUUAAAGUCUAAUCUGCCCACUGAUAAAAUAUUAAAGGGCUGCAGUAUAUUGACUGUACAAAGGUAGCAUAAUCAUUAGUCUUUUAAUUGAAGACUUGUAUGAAAGAUUUGAUGAAAUAUAAACUGUCUCUAAUUUAUAAUUAGAAAUUAAUUUUUUAGUUAAAAAGCUAAAAUAAAAUUAAAAGACGAGAAGACCCUAUAGAGUUUUAUAUUUUAUUUUUUUUAAUAUUAAAAAUAUAAUUAAAUUAUAUUAAGUAAAUGAAAUAUUAUGUUGGGGUGAUAAAAAAAUUUAAUAAACUUUUUUUAAAAAAUUAACAUAGAUAAGUGAUUAAUUGAUCCAUUAAUAAUGAUUAAAAGAAAAAAUUACCUUAGGGAUAACAGCGUAAUAUUUUUUUUUAGUACAAAUAAAAAAGAAAGUUUGCGACCUCGAUGUUGGAUUAAGAUAAAAUUUAAAUGCAAAAGUUUAAAAUUUUGAUCUGUUCGAUCAUUAAAAUCUUACAUGAUCUGAGUUCAAACCGGUGUAAGCCAGGUUGGUUUCUAUCUUUAAUAAAAUAAAAUAUUUUAGUACGAAAGGAUCAAAUAUUUAAAAUAAUUUUAUUUAAUUGAAUAUUAAUAAUAUAAUUUU
rnacentral:rRNA from 1 species